rnacentral:rRNA from 1 species
AGCAGCCGCGGUAAUUCCAGCUCCAAUAGCGUAUAUUAAAGUUGUUGCAGUUAAGAAGCUCGUAGUUGAAUUUCGGGAUUGACACAUCGGUCGUGCCUUAAGGGGUAUGAACUGGUAUAGUCAAUUUCUCACCUUCUGGAGAACCGCGAUGCCCUUAAUUGGGUGUCACGGGGAACCAGGACCUUUACUUUGAAAAAAUUAGAGUGUUUAAAGCAGGCAUUUUGCUUGAAUACAUUAGCAUGGAAUAAUAAAAUAGGACGGCAUGAUUCUAUUUUGUUGGUUUCUAGGAUCACCGUAAUGAUUAAUAGGGAUAGUUGGGGGCAUUAGUAUUCAAUUGUCAGAGGUGAGAUUCUUGGAUUUAUUGAAGACUAACUACUGCGAAAGCACUUGCCAAGGAUGUUUUCAUUAAUCAAGAACGAAAGUUAGGGGAUCGAAGACGAUCCGAUACCG